AUGGCUCAGAUUGAACGCUGGCGGCAGGCCUAACACAUGCAAGUCGAACGGUAGCACAGAGGAGCUUGCUCCUUGGGUGACGAGUGGCGGACGGGUGAGUAAUGUCUGGGGAUCUGCCCGAUGGAGGGGGAUAACUACUGGAAACGGUAGCUAAUACCGCAUAACGUCGCAAGACCAAAGUGGGGGACCUUCGGGCCUCACACCAUCGGAUGAACCCAGAUGGGAUUAGCUAGUAGGUGGGGUAACGGCUCACCUAGGCGACGAUCCCUAGCUGGUCUGAGAGGAUGACCAGCCACACUGGAACUGAGACACGGUCCAGACUCCUACGGGAGGCAGCAGUGGGGAAUAUUGCACAAUGGGCGCAAGCCUGAUGCAGCCAUGCCGCGUGUAUGAAGAAGGCCUUCGGGUUGUAAAGUACUUUCAGCGGGGAGGAAGGUGGUGAGGUUAAUAACCUCAUCAAUUGACGUUACCCGCAGAAGAAGCACCGGCUAACUCCGUGCCAGCAGCCGCGGUAAUACGGAGGGUGCAAGCGUUAAUCGGAAUUACUGGGCGUAAAGCGCACGCAGGCGGUCUGUCAAGUCGGAUGUGAAAUCCCCGGGCUUAACCUGGGAACUGCAUUCGAAACUGGCAGGCUCGAGUCUCGUAGAGGGGGGUAGAAUUCCAGGUGUAGCGGUGAAAUGCGUAGAGAUCUGGAGGAAUACCGGUGGCGAAGGCGGCCCCCUGGACGAAGACUGACGCUCAGGUGCGAAAGCGUGGGGAGCAAACAGGAUUAGAUACCCUGGUAGUCCACGCCGUAAACGAUGUCGACUUGGAGGUUGUGCCCUUGAGGCGUGGCUUCCGGAGCUAACGCGUUAAGUCGACCGCCUGGGGAGUACGGCCGCAAGGUUAAAACUCAAAUGAAUUGACGGGGGCCCGCACAAGCGGUGGAGCAUGUGGUUUAAUUCGAUGCAACGCGAAGAACCUUACCUGGCCUUGACAUCCAGAGAACUUAGCAGAGAUGCUUUGGUGCCUUCGGGAACUCUGAGACAGGUGCUGCAUGGCUGUCGUCAGCUCGUGUUGUGAAAUGUUGGGUUAAGUCCCGCAACGAGCGCAACCCUUAUCCUUUGUUGCCAGCGAUUCGGUCGGGAACUCAAAGGAGACUGCCGGUGAUAAACCGGAGGAAGGUGGGGAUGACGUCAAGUCAUCAUGGCCCUUACGGCCAGGGCUACACACGUGCUACAAUGGCGCAUACAAAGAGAAGCGACCUCGCGAGAGCAAGCGGACCUCAUAAAGUGCGUCGUAGUCCGGAUUGGAGUCUGCAACUCGACUCCAUGAAGUCGGAAUCGCUAGUAAUCGUAGAUCAGAAUGCUACGGUGAAUACGUUCCCGGGCCUUGUACACACCGCCCGUCACACCAUGGGAGUGGGUUGCAAAAGAAGUAGGUAGCUUAACCUUCGGGAGGGCGCUUACCACUUUGUGAUUCAUGACUGGGGUGAAGUCUA
rnacentral:rRNA from 1 species